CUGCGAAUGGCUCAUUAUAUAAGUUAUCGUUUAUUUGAUAGUACCUUACUACUUGGAUAACCGUGGUAAUUCUAGAGCUAAUACAUGCUGCCAACCCCGACUCCGGAAGGGGCGUAUUUAUUAGAUCCAAAGCCAACGCCCUCCUGGGGCUCCUUGGUGAUUCAUGAUAACUCUUCGAAUCGCACGGCCUUGCGCCGGCGAUGGUUCAUUCAAAUUUCUUCCCUAUCAACUUUCGAUGUUUGGGUAUUGGCCAAACAUGGUCGCAACGGGUAACGGAGGGUUAGGGCUCGACCCCGGAGAAGGAGCCUGAGAAACGGCUACUACAUCCAAGGAAGGCAGCAGGCGCGCAAAUUACCCAAUCCCGACACGGGGAGGUAGUGACAAUAAAUACUGAUACAGGGCUCUUUAGGGUCUUGUAAUUGGAAUGAGUACAGUUUAAACCCCUUAGCGAGGAACAAUUGGAGGGCAAGUCUGGUGCCAGCAGCCGCGGUAAUUCCAGCUCCAAUAGCGUAUAUUAAAGUUGUUGUGGUUAAAAAGCUCGUAGUUGAACCUUGGGCCUGGCUGGCCGGUCCGCCUCACCGCGUGCACUGGUCCGGCCGGGCCUUUCCCUCUGCAGAGCCCCAUGCCCUUCGCUGGGCGUGGCGGGGAGGCAGGACGUUUACUUUGAAAAAAUUAGAGUGCUCAAGGCAGGCCUAUGCUCGGAUACAUUAGCAUGGAAUAAUGAAACAGGACGCGCGGUUCCGUUUCGUUGGCUCUAGGUACCGCCGUAAUGAUCGAUAGGGACAGUCGGGGGCAUCAGUAUUCAGCUGUCAGAGGUGAAAUUCUUGGAUUUGCUGAAGACUAACUACUGCGAAAGCAUUUGCCAAGGAUGUUUUCAUUAAUCAGGAACGAAAGUUAGGGGAUCGAAGACGAUCAGAUACCGUCGUAGUCCUAACCAUAAACUAUGCCGACUAGGGAUCGGACGAUGUUGUCUCUUGACGCGUUCGGCACCUUGCGAGAAAUCAAA
rnacentral:rRNA from 1 species